UUUUGUUCGCCCCUGUGUCCACUUGAACCUCGUUGCACGUGGGAGCUAUCAAUUAAGGGCAGUGUGGCACCAUCCAGGUGGAUCAAAGGGAGAGGCUAGGGGGAGGGACACUCACUUAGCAGAGGAGAGCGACGGAGAGGAGACAGCACUUUGGAGCUGGGAGUUUGAUCUGGAUUUUAGAGUAAAGAGUGAGAUAUUGAAAGAGGAUGGAGAGGGCUGGGGCGUCAACCCAAAAGCCCAGAGCGAUCAGGCAAGGACACAAAUGUCCAAUAUGUGGGCUGGAGUACGCAGACUUAAUGCAGCACCUUAAACUAGGUGAACGUGUGGUCAACAGAACAGAACUGGACCUGCUAUCUAAGCUGGCACACAGACAUUUCACGGCGAGCUUGGAUUGCCCGGUACGUAACUGCAACUCCAGGAAGAUGAACAGGCUGGACAAGCACCUUCU